rnacentral:rRNA from 1 species
UACGUAGGUGGCAAGCGUUGUCCGGAAUCACUGGGCGUAAAGCGCGCGCAGGCGGCGAUCUACGUCUGGGGUGAAAGCCCGGAGCUCAACUCCGGGACUGCCUUGGAUACGGGAUCGCUUGAGGAUUGGAGAGGCAAGGGGAAUUCCACGUGUAGCGGUGAAAUGCGUAGAUAUCUGGAGGAAUACCGGUGGCGAAGGCGGCAUCCUGGACCGACAUUGACGCUGAGGAGCGAAAGCUAGGGGAGCAAACGGG